UCCGUAGGUGAACCUGCGGAAGGAUCACUAGUGAUUAAAUCGAGCGUGUCUUCAUUGACCGCUCACCCUUCUCACCAUCCACAUACACCUGUGCACUGUUUAGCCUGAGCCGGUUCGGUUCAGGUUAUCAUUUCAUACAAACUCUAGUCUUAUGAAUGUAAACGUUUUAAUAACAUAAUAAAACUUUCAACAACGGAUCUCUUGGUUCUCGCAUCGAUGAAGAACGCAGCGAAAUGCGAUAAGUAAUGUGAAUUGCAGAAUUCAGUGAAUCAUCGAAUCUUUGAACGCACCUUGCGCUCCUUGGUAUUCCGAGGAGCAUGCCUGUUUGAGUGUCAUGAAACUCUCACCCUCUAGCUUUCUUAAUCGUGGCUAGCGGCGUGGACGUGAGCGCUGCUGCUUUGUUGCGGCUCGCUCGAAAUGCAUUAGCAGACCCUUUUCGUAAUCGGUUCCACUCAACGUGAUAAGUAUUUCGUUGAGGACAGUUGCAGCAAUGCGGCUGGCCGGGAUAAGAAAGGCAUAGUUGUCAGCUUCUAAUCGCCCUUGGGCAAUUUUUUAUGAUCUGGCCUCAAAUCAGGUAGGACUACCCGCUGAACUUAAGCUCAUCAAUAAGCGGAGGA
rnacentral:rRNA from 1 species